CAGUCGCCGCGGUAAUACGUAGGGUGCGAGCGUUAAUCGGAAUUACUGGGCGUAAGGCGUGCGCAGGCGGUUCGUUAAGACAGAUGUGAAAUCCCCGGGCUUAACCUGGGAACUGCAUUUGUGACUGGCGAGCUAGAGUAUGGCAGAGGGGGGUAGAAUUCCACGUGUAGCAGUGAAAUGCGUAGAGAUGUGGAGGAAUACCGACGGCGAAGGCAGCCCCCUGGGCCAAUACUGACGCUCAUGCACGAAAGCGUGGGGAGCAAACAGGAUUAGAUACCCCCGUAGUCCCUGUCUCUUAUAC
rnacentral:rRNA from 1 species